rnacentral:rRNA from 1 species
GACGAACGCUGGCGGCGUGCUUAACACAUGCAAGUCGAACGGAAAGGCCCCUUUGGGGGUCCUCGAGUGGCGAACGGGUGAGUAACACGUGAGUAACCUGCCCUUGACUUCGGGAUAACUUCAGGAAACUGGGGCUAAUACCGGAUAGGAAUCCUUGCUGCAUGGUGGGGGUUGGAAAGCUUCGGCGGUUUUGGAUGGACUCGCGGCUUAUCAGCUUGUUGGUGGGGUAGUGGCUUACCAAGGCUUUGACGGGUAGCCGGCCUGAGAGGGCGACCGGCCACAGUGGGACUGAGAUACGGCCCAGACUCCUACGGGAGGCAGCAGUGGGGAAGAUUGCACAAUGGGCGGAAGCCUGAUGCAGCAACGCCGCGGGCGGGAGGACGGCCUUCGGGUUGUAAACCGCUUUCAGCAGGGGCGAAGCUUGUGGUGACGGUACCUGCAGAAGAAGCACCGGCUAACUACGUG